rnacentral:rRNA from 1 species
AGUGGACGCGAGCAUCUUCAUCUUUGUGGUCAAGUUAGUAAGGGCACAUGGUGGAUGCCUUGGCACCAGGAGCCGAUGAAGGACGUGGGAGCCUGCGAUAAUCCCUGGCGAGCUGGCAACCGAGCUAUGACCCGGGGGUGUCCGAAUGGGGAAACCCGGCGGCAGUCAUGUGCCGUCACCGUCACCUGAACACAUAGGGUGGUCGGAGGGAACGUGGGGAAGUGAAACAUCUCAGUACCCACAGGAAGAGAAAACAAGAGUGAUUCCGUGAGUAGUGGCGAGCGAAAGCGGAUGAGGCUAAACCGUGCGCGUGUGAUACCCGGCAGGGGUUGCGUGUGCGGUGUUGUGGGGUUGUGUUGAUUCAGCUGCUGCCGUGGCUGGUCUGGAGUGAUCAAUCGUUGUUGAAGUCGAAGGGCUUGAGAGGCCUGGCGUAGAGGGUGUUACCCCCGUAGACGUAAGGCAGCGACUCCAGUGAUGCGAUACCCGAGUAGCACGGGGCUCGUGGAAUCUCGUGUGAAUCUGGCGGGACCACCCGCUAAGCCUAAAUACUCCCUGGUGACCGAUAGCGGAUCAGUACCGUGAGGGAAUGGUGAAAAGUACCCCGGGAGGGGAGUGAAAUAGUACCUGAAACCAUGUGCCUACAAGCCGUCAGAGCGCUUGCCUUGUGUGGGUGUGAUGGCGUGCCUUUUGAAGAAUGAGCCUGCGAGUUAGUGGUGUGUGGCGAGGUUAACCCGUGUGGGGUAGCCGUAGCGAAAGCGAGUCCGAAGAGGGCGCCAGAGUCGCAUGCUCUAGACCCGAAGCGGAGUGAUCUACCCAUGGGCAGGGUGAAGCGGAGGUAAGACUUCGUGGAGGCCCGAACCGACCUACGUUGAAAAGUGGGCGGAUGACCUGUGGGUAGGGGUGAAAGGCCAAUCAAACUCCGUGAUAGCUGGUUCUCCCCGAAAUGCAUUUAGGUGCAGCGUCGCGUGUUUCUUGCCGGAGGUAGAGCACUGGAUGGCUGAUGGGCCCUACAAGGUUACUGACGUCAGCCAAACUCCGAAUGCCGGUAAGUGAGAGCGCGGCAGUGAGACUGCGGGCGAUAAGGUUCGUAGUCGAGAGGGAAACAGCCCAGAUCACCAGCUAAGGCCCCUAAGCGUGUGCUAAGUGGAAAAGGAUGUGGAGUUGCGAAGACAACCAGGAGGUUGGCUUAGAAGCAGCCAUCCUUGAAAGAGUGCGUAAUAGCUCACUGGUCAAGUGAUUCUGCGCCGACAAUGUAGCGGGGCUCAAGCACACCGCCGAAGCUGUGACAAUCACACGUUAGCCCAGCAUCCCUUCCUUGUGGGGGGGUGUUCAGGUGUGUGGUUGGGUAGGGGAGCGUCGUGUGGCGGUUGAAGCGGCGGGGUGACCCAGUCGUGGACGCUACACGAGUGAGAAUGCAGGCAUGAGUAGCGAAAGACGGGUGAGAAACCCGUCCGCCGAAUGACCAAGGGUUCCAGGGCCAGGUUAAUCCGCCCUGGGUAAGUCGGGACCUAAGGCGAGGCCGACAGGCGUAGUCGAUGGACAACGGGUUGAUAUUCCCGUACCGGUUGUGGCGCGCCCAUGCCGAGCCCGGUGAUGCUAACCAUCCGAACCUGUGGUUCUCCUUCGGGAGGGCUGACGGGGGAGCGUGGGAACCGAUCCGGUAGUAGGCAAGCGAUGGGGUGACGCAGGAAGGUAGCCCAUCCCGGGCGAUGGUUGUCCCGGGGUAACAGUGUGGGGCCGUGGUAGGUAAAUCCGCCACAGUAGUGCCCGAGGCUGGAUGCCGAGCCGAUUGCGGCGAAGUGGGUGAUCCUAUGCUGUCGAGAAAAGCCUCUAGCGAGCUCCAUAGCCGCCCGUACCCCAAACCGACACAGGUGGUCAGGUAGAGAAUACCAAGGCGAUCGAGUGAACCGUGGUUAAGGAACUCGGCAAAAUGCCCCCGUAACUUCGGGAGAAGGGGGGCCGGAUACGUGAACACCACACGGUGGGAGCGUUGAUGGCCGCAGAGACCAGGGGAAAGCGACUGUUUAUUAAAAACACAGGUCCGUGCGAAGUCGCAAGACGAUGUAUACGGACUGACGCCUGCCCGGUGCUGGAACGUUAAGGGGACGAGUCAACCCUUCGGGGUGAAGCUCAGAACUUAAGCGCCAGUAAACGGCGGUGGUAACUAUAACCAUCCUAAGGUAGCGAAAUUCCUUGUCGGGUAAGUUCCGACCUGCACGAAUGGCGUAACGACUUUCCCACUGUCUCAACCACGGACUCGGCGAAAUUGCACUACGAGUAAAGAUGCUCGUUACCCGCAGCAGGACGGAAAGACCCCGGGACCUUUACUAUAGCUUGGUAUUGGUGUUCGGUUCGGCUUGUGUAGGAUAGGUGGGAGACUGUGAAGCUGUCACGCCAGUGGCGGUGGAGUCAACGUUGAAAUACCACUCUGGUCGUACUGGAUAUCUAACCUCGGUCCGUGAUCCGGAUCAGGGACAGUGCCUGGUGGGUAGUUUAACUGGGGCGGUUGCCUCCUAAAAGGUAACGGAGGCGCCCAAAGGUUCCCUCAGCCUGGUUGGCAAUCAGGCGGCGAGUGCAAGUGCACAAGGGAGCUUGACUGUGAGACCGACGGGUCGAACAGGUACGAAAGUAGGGACUAGUGAUCCGGCAGUGGCUUGUGGAAGCGCUGUCGCUCAACGGAUAAAAGGUACCCCGGGGAUAACAGGCUGAUCCUGCCCAAGAGUCCAUAUCGACGGCAUGGUUUGGCACCUCGAUGUCGGCUCGUCGCAUCCUGGGGCCGUAGCAGGUCCCAAGGGUUGGGCUGUUCGCCCAUUAAAGCGGUACGCGAGCUGGGUUUAGAACGUCGUGAGACAGUUCGGUCCCUAUCCGCUGCGGGCGCAGGAGACUUGAGAAGGGCUGUCCCUAGUACGAGAGGACCGGGACGGACGAACCUCUGGUGUGCCAGUUGUUCCGCCAGGAGCACGGCUGGUUGGCUACGUUCGGAAAGGAUAACCGCUGAAAGCAUCUAAGCGGGAAGCCUGCUUCAAGAUGAGGUCUCCCACACGGUUAACGUGGUAAGGCCCCCAGCUAGACGACUGGGUUGAUAGGCCGGACGUGGAAGCCCAGCAAUGGGUGAAGCUGACCGGUACUAAUAGGCCGAGGACUUGACCACACACACCCC